AAAAACAGCCCCCGAAGUUCGGGGUCCCAAGACCCCCCAGCGGAAAAAUGGCCAAAAAACGGUGGGCUAUAGCCUUGGUGGGGGGCGUGGGCGAAGUUCGUCCGUGGGACUCGGAAUGGCACCAGACUUGGCGGGCGGCCUCCGGGUACCAAAAAUAGGCCACGGGCACAGCCGCGCCCAAAAAACAGCCCCCGAAGUUCGGGGUCCCAAGACCCCCCAGCGGAAAAAUGGCCAAAAAACGGUGGGCUAUAGCCUUGGUGGGGGGCGUGGGCGAAGUUCGUCCGCGGGACUCGGAAUGGCACCGGACUUGGCGGGCGGCCUCCGUGUGCCAAAAAUAGGCCACGGGCACAGCCGCGCCCAAAAAACAGCCCCCGAAGUUCGGGGUCCCAAGUCCCCCCAGCGGAAAAAUGGCCAAAAAACGGGUGGGCUAUAGCUUUGGUGGGGGGCGUGGGCGAAGUUCGUCCGCGGGACUCGGAAUGGCACCAGACUUGGCGGGCGGCCCUCUGUGUGUCUAAAAUAGGCCACGGGCACAGCCGCGCCCAAAAAACAGCCCCCGAAGUUCGGGGUCCCAAGACCCCCCAGCGAAAAAAUGGCCAAAAAACGGGUGGGCUAUAGCCUUGGUGGGGGGCGUGGGCGAAGUUCGUCCGCGGAACUCGGAAUGGCACCAGACUUGGCAGGCGGCCUCCGUGUGCCAAAAAUAGGCCACGGGCACAGCCGCGCCCAAAAACAGGCCCCGAUGAUCGGGGUCCCAAGACCCCCCAGCGGAAAAAUGGCCAAAAAACGGGUGGGCUAUAGCCUUGGUGGGGGGCGUGGGCGAAGUUCGUCCGCGGGACUCGGAAUGGCACCAGACUUGGCGGGCGGCCUUCGUGUGCCAAAAAUAGGCCACGGGCACAGCCGCGCCCAAAAAACAACCCCCGAAGUUCGGGGUCCCAAGACCCCCCAGCGGAAAAAUGGCCAAAAAACGGUGGGCUAUGGCCUUGGUGGGGGGCGAGGGCGAAGUUCGUCCGCGGGACUCGGAAUGGCACCAGACUUGGCGGGCGGCCUCCGUGUGCCAAAAAUAGGCCACGGGCACAGCCGCGCCCAAAAAACAACCCCCGAAGUUCGGGGUCCCAAGACCCCCCAGCGGAAAAAUGGCCAAAAAACGGUGGGCUAUAGCCUUGGUGGGGGGCGUGGGCGAAGUUCGUCCGCGGGACUCGGAAUGGCAACGGACUUGGCGGGCGGCCUCCGUGUGCCAAAAAUAGGCCACGGGCACAGCCGCGCCCAAAAAACAGCCCCCGAAGUUCGGGGUCCCAAGUCCCCCCAGCGGAAAAAUGGCCAAAAAACGGGUGGGCUAUAGCCUUGGUGGGGGGCGUGGGCGAAGUUCGUCCGCGGGACUCGGAAUGGCACCAGACUUGGCGGGCGGCCUCCGUGUGCCAAAAAUAGGCCACGGGCACAGCCGCGCCCAAAAAACAGCCCCCGAAGUUCGGGGUCCCAAGACCCCCCAGCGAAAAAAUGGCCAAAAAAUGGGUGGGCUAUAGCCUUGGUGGGGGGCGUGGGCGAAGUUCGUCCGCGGAACUCGGAAUGGCACCAGACUUGGCAGGCGGCCUCCGUGUGCCAAAAAUAGGCCACGGGCACAGCCGCGCCCAAAAAACAGGCCCCGAAGAUCGGGGUCCCAAGACCCCCCAGCGGAAAAAUGGCCAAAAAACGGGUGGGCUAUAGCCUUGGUGGGGGGCGUGGGCGAAGUUCGUCCGCGGGACUCGGAAUGGCACCAGACUUGGCGGGCGGCCUCCGUGUGCCAAAAAUAGGCCACGGGCACAGCCGCGCCCAAAAAACAGCCCCCGAAGUUCGGGGUCCCAAGACCCCCCAGCGGAAAAAUGGCCAAAAAACGGUGGGCUAUGGCCUUGGUGGGGGGCGAGGGCGAAGUUCGUCCGCGGGACUCGGAAUGGCACCAGACUUGGCGGGCGGCCUCCGUGUGCCAAAAAUAGGCCACGGGCACAGCCGCGCCCAAAAAACAACCCCCGAAGUUCGGGGUCCCAAGACCCCCCAGCGGAAAAAUGGCCAAAAAACGGUGGGCUAUAGCCUUGUGGGGGUGCGUGGGCGAAAUUCGUCCGCGGAAUUCGGAAUGGCACCAAGACUUGGCGGGCCGGCCUCCGUGUUGCCAAAAAUAUGGCUACGGGCCACAGCCUGUCGCCACAAAAAACAGCCCCCGAAGUUCGGGGUCCCAAGACCCCCCAGCGGAAAAAUGGCCAAAAAACGGGUGGGCUAUAGCCUUGGUGGGGGGUGUGGGCGAAGUUCGUCCGCGGGACUCAGAAUGGCACCAGACUUGGCGGGCGGCCUCCGUGUGCCAAAAAUAGGCCACGGGCACAGCCGCGCCCAAAAAACAGCCCCCGAAGUUCGGGAUCCCAAGACCCCCCAGCGGAAAAAUGGCCAAAAAACGGUGGGCUAUAGCCUUGGUGGGGGGCGUGGGCGAAGUUCGUCCGUGGGACUCGGAAUGGCACCAGACUUGGCGGGCGGCCUCCGUGUGCCAAAAAUAGGCCACGGGCACAGCCGCGCCCAAAAAACAGCCCCCGAAGUUCGGGGUCCCAAGACACCCCAGCGGAAAAAUGGCCAAAAAACGGGUGGGCUAUAGCCUUGGUGGGGGGAGUGGGCGAAGUUCGUCCGCGGGACGCGGAAUGGCACCAGACUUGGCGGGCGGCCUCCGUGUGCCAAAAAUAGGCCACGGGCACAGCCGCGCCCAAAAAACAGCCCCCGAAGUUCGGGGUCCCAAGACCCCCCAGCGGAAAAAAUGGCCAAAAAACGGGUGGGCUAUAGCCUUGGUGGGGGGCGUGGGCGAAGUUCGUCUGCGGGACUCGGAAUGGCACCAGACUUGGCGGGCGGCGUCCGUGUGCCAAAAAUAGGCCACGGGCACAGCCGCGCCCAAAAAACAGCCCCCGAAGUUUGGGGUCCCAAGACCCCCGAGCGGAAAAAUGGCCAAAAAACGGUGGGCUAUAGCCUUGGUGGGGGGCGUGGGCGAAGUUCGUCCGUGGGACUCGGAAUGGCACCAGACUUGGCGGGCAGCCUCCGUGUGCCAAAAAUAGGCCACGGGCACAGCCGCGCCCAAAAAACAACCCUCGAAGUUCGUGGUCCCAAGACCCCCCAGCGGAAAAAUGGCCAAAAAACGGUGGGCUAUAGCCUUGGUGGGGUGCGUGGGCGAAGUUCGUCCGCGGGACUCGGAAUGGCACCAGACUUGGCGGGCGGCCUCCGUGUGCCAAAAAUAGGCCACGGGCACAGCCGCGCCCAAAAAACAGCCCCCGAAGUUCGGGGUCCCAAGACCCCCCAGCGGAAAAAUGGCCAAAAAACGGUGGGCUAUGGCCUUGGUGGGGGGCGUGGGCGAAGUUCGUCCGUGGGACUCGGAAUGGCACCAGACUUGGCGGGCGGCCUCCGUGUGCCAAAAAUAGGCCACGGGCACAGCCGCGCCCAAAAAACAGCCCCCGAAGUUCGGGGUCCCAAGACACCCCAGCGGAAAAAUGGCCAAAAAACGGGUGGGCUAUAGCCUUGGUGGGGGGAGUGGGCGAAGUUCGUCCGCGGGACGCGGAAUGGCACCAGACUUGGCGGGCGGCCUCCGUGUGCCAAAAAUAGGCCACGGGCACAGCCGCGCCCAAAAAACAGCCCCCGAAGUUCGGGGUCCCAAGACCCCCCAGCGGAAAAAAUGGCCAAAAAACGGGUGGGCUAUAGCCUUGGUGGGGGGCGUGGGCGAAGUUCGUCUGCGGGACUCGGAAUGGCACCAGACUUGGCGGGCGGCGUCCAUGUGCCAAAAAUAGGCCACGGGCACAGCAGCGCCCAAAAAACAGCCCCCGAAGUUUGGGGUCCCAAGACCCCCGAGCGGAAAAAUGGCCAAAAAACGGUGGGCUAUAGCCUUGGUGGGGGGCGUGGGCGAAGUUCGUCCGUGGGACUCGGAAUGGCACCAGACUUGGCGGGCAGCCUCCGUGUGCCAAAAAUAGGCCACGGGCACAGCCGCGCCCAAAAAACAACCCUCGAAGUUCGGGGUCCCAAGACCCCCCAGCGGAAAAAUGGCCAAAAAACGGUGGGCUAUAGCCUUGGUGGGGUGCGUGGGCGAAGUUCGUCCGCGGGACUCGGAAUGGCACCAGACUUGGCGGGCGGCCUCCGUGUGCCAAAAAUAGGCCAAGGGCACAGCCGCGCCCAAAAAACAGCCCCCGAAGUUCGGGGUCCCAAGACCCCU
rnacentral:lncRNA from 1 species